ensembl:lncRNA
CAGCUUUCACCUUUAUUGGUAUGAGUUGAGGGGAAAAUGUCUUUAUCACUGGUGCCUGAGUCCCAUCAUAGUCAUUAUUCCUCUGGAUUAAGACUUGAUUCUCUCUUAAAAUGGAGGUGCUCUUGGGAGGGAUAACCCGUCACAUUUCUAUUUCUUAGUGUGAAUGAAGUUAUGCAAUCCAGCAGCAAGUGAUGAAUUUUGGUGGUAAUGCCCUGGGCACCCAGAAAAGAAAAUGACAUGCAAACUGGGGUGGGCGGCAACAAUGAGAUUCUGUGACUCUACAGGCUUAUGGAGAGCUCGUCCCACUUUCUAAUCCACCUCCUUUGUUUGGUGUUUUGGAUUUUGGAAUUUGGAAUUUUGGAACCAGAAGAUCUGAUCCAGCUUUGGCUCUGUCACCCGUGUGGCCCUGGGUAAAGCCUCUUGGAAGGGUUGAAGACAAUACCUGUGGUAGCUGCUGAUGAGGUGGUUGUAAAGAGCCAGUGAGAUAAUAUGUGGGAAAGUUCAACCACACAGAUUCUACUCCUAAGGAAUCUGUUACGCCGAGUGCAACUGACUUCACUGUUGGAAGGCUAUGCCUCUUCUCUGUGUGCCAGUCAAUUCAGCAUCAGUGUCCCCUGCAUGAUCUGCCAAGCAGAAUCAGACCGUGACAAAUCUUAACCACUUUAUCGACCUGAGAGAUGAUCCUGGAUGGUAUAUUAAGUGACUAAGGUUUAGAAGUUACCAAACACCCACACUGAGUUUUAAAGACUUCCUUUGAAAGGGAUGGGCUCUACAAUGCACUUUUAAAAACUUCAAAUUCCUAAUUAUGAUCUACAAAGUCCUGAACAGUCUGACAUUUACUCAUCUCUCCAAACUGAUCUCAAUCUGCUCUCCCUCUGGCUCGCUCGUUCUAGCAUCAUUGGCUUUUUUUUCCUCUUCCUGGAGCAUACCAACUGAUCUUCCGGGGGCUUUGAGAAUACCAUUCUCUUUGUCAGGAACAUUCUCUUGGCCACCACAACUGCUUCCUUGCUAAUAUCACCUCCCAGAUGACUGCCAGCCUAGGAGCUCUCCGAGUUGUUCCACAUGAAGAACACACUCAGCUUUUGGUCUAUAGCUCCCAGCCCGGGUGGUUCUGGACACUGCUGAACCAUCCCCCCUUCCAAGAAGAGUUCUCUGCAGCAGGUGAAGUCCUUCUCAGGAGGUCAGAGCCCUCGGUCAUCUGGCAAUUUCAUAGGAUUGAAUAUAUUUGCUCCCUGACAUGAACUUGGUGGUUUUUUUCUAGUUCUUAAAUGACAGGGUGUCAACUGGAGGCUGAGAUGUAGGUGAAAUUACCUUCAACUCUCUAAUAACUGGGCCUGUGGAAAGUGAAAACCAAGAUUUCUGCUACAUCUCCCUAGGGUGGACUAAUCAUAUGUCGUUCUCCGAGCCUCUGCUGCCUCCUUGGCUUUCCACUUCCUCUUGGGUUGUCUGGGUCAUCCCAUGUCAUAGCUGCUUUAGUUUCCACUUCAAAAAAUCACUUGCACGAGUAUGUGUGAGUCUUAACUGAAGAGGGCCUUGGGAGGUGAAGAAGGAUGUCAGGUGAGAGGUGACAGCUCAAAAUGCAGCCCCUCUCAGUGGCACUCAUUUCUCAAUCCUUCUACUCUCUGCUCUUUGGUGGGUUUUCCAAGGAGGUCCAAUGACUGCUCUUUUUGUUUGCAGAGCAUUUCAGCCAUUUUCUCUUGAGCCUUGGUGCUAGCCUUCAUGGAGGUCCUUGUGGCGGGGGGUGGGCUUGGGGGGUGGCCUGAGGAGAAGGGGAGGUGAGCUUCUUCCCCAGGUUGUUUUCAAAUUAUUUUUCCAAAGGGGAACAGUGCCCUUCCUAAGACAAAUUUUGGUGCAAGCCAUAGGUUAAUAUUUUGUCAACCUCACUAUGAUGAUUUUAACUCAAUUACUGGUAUCCUUGAAAGAAUAGCUACUCAUGCCUAUAUUAUGCUCCAUUCACAACCUUGAUCUCGAUACACAGAAGUGGCUGGUUGGGGAAAGGAAGAAAGUUGAGAAUGUUCUUUAGUAGGAAAAAUGUGCACUCCAAAAGUAUUCUUAUUAAAGCAAAUAAUACAACGAAAAGAAAAAUCCAAUCAGUUUAGAUGGGCACAUAAUCAUAACGAAAUAUCUCAUUACUUCUUUUCCUCCCCUCCUCUCCCACCUGUUCUCCAGAGGCAGCCACUUUUGGCCGUUUCUGCUUUGAGUUCUUCUGCUGGUUACAAUCAUAACUUCCCUGUGUGAGAAGGAUGACUCAGCUCUGAGCACAAGGGCGGGCCAUGUAAACUGGAAGACUUAACUUGAAACGUGUGAGCAGGAAGUCAGGUUAGAGCCACUUAAAAUGCCGAAAAAGGAUGGGCCUUUCACUGUUGGUUACCUCCUCACAUCCGGUAAUUCUUAGCCCAGCACCAUCAGCAUC